rnacentral:rRNA from 1 species
AAGCUCGUAGUUGAACCUUGGGCCUGGCUGGCCGGUCCGCCUCACCGCGUGUACUGGUCCGGCCGGGCCUUUCCCUCUGUGGAACCUCAUGCCCUUCACUGGGUGUGGCGGGGAAACAGGACUUUUACUUUGAAAAAAUUAGAGUGCUCCAGGCAGGCCUAUGCUCGAAUACAUUAGCAUGGAAUAAUAAAAUAGGACGUGUGGUUCUAUUUUGUUGGUUUCUAGGACCGCCGUAAUGAUUAAUAGGGACAGUCGGGGGCAUCAGUAUUCAAUUGUCAGAGGUGAAAUUCUUGGAUUUAUUGAAGACUAACUACUGCGAAAGCAUUUGCUAAGGAUGUUUUCAUUAAUCAGGAACGAAAGUUAGGGGAUCGAAGACGAUCAGAUACCGUCGUAGUCUUAACCAUAAACUAUGCCGACUAGGGAUCGGACGAUGUUAUUUUUUGACGCGUUCGGCA